rnacentral:rRNA from 1 species
GACAGAGGUGCCGAGCGUUAGGCGGAAUCACUGGGCUUAAAGCGUGUGUAGGCGGACUUCUAAGUACCUUGUGAAAUCCCACGGCUCAACCGUGGAACUGCUUGGUAUACUGGUCGUCUUGAGCCACCUAGGGGCAACCGGAACAAACGGUGGAGCGGUGAAAUGCGUAGAUAUCAGGAGGAACACCGGUGGCGAAGGCGGGUCUCUGGGCCGUAACUGACGCUGAGGAGCGAAAGCGUGGGGAGCGAACAGG